rnacentral:snRNA from 1 species
AGCUCUCUCUAGCCUUUUGGCUUGGAUAAAAGUGAAGUGAAGUUCAUUCAGGAUUUGACCGUCCUGAACUCCUCCCACGGGGGGAGACCAAAUCAUUCAUUUUUUGGAACCAGUGCUUGUGGGCGCUGGGCUCUGCCUAUCUCACUAGCUCACAGUGUCACCUUUAUUGCACUACUUGGGGUUGACGCGAAAACAUU